AAGGAUCAUUAAGACGUUUGGGGAUGCCGCUGUGCACUCUAUCGCCUUCAUUCACUCUGAGUAUGUGUCCUGUUGCUUCCGUGGGGUUUGAAGAUAUGCGCCUGCCAGUGUCGUGUUUUGCCCUUGCCGAUGAAGGCGACCCUGCGGAAGGGAAGCGUCAAACUCCUUUGUUGUACCAAUGGUGUUUGUUCGGUCUGAGCAUGGUUUGAGGAAAAAUGUUAAAACUUUCAGCAACGGAUCUCUUGGUUCUC
rnacentral:misc_RNA from 1 species